AUGAUUAUUCAAUAAACCUUUUUAGAUCUGAAGAUCCUAAACUGAUGUUUAUAAAUAGGAAAAACUUGCUUCAGACAGUUUGCAGAGGCUCCUCUAAGCCACUAAAAAAAAAGUUGAUUUUACAAAAGAAGCAAAUACCACUCAGUCUAUGAGAAAAAUUAUGUGCUAUGCAUAGUAAAAAUGGAGUAAGUUGGGUUUUUUUUCUGGGUUGUUUUUGCUGUGUUUUUAAAAUGCUUUUCUUAAGACUUUGAGUUCAGCUGGGUUUGCAGAAGUGCUGGUGCAGAGCUCUGCCUGACGUUUCGCUCAGCCAGUGCAAUAAAGGAUGAGCCGGCACUGUCAGAACUCUGCGGGUGGUUGAAUAUAGCAGGAAAUAGAUACUUCACUGAGAACCUGGAACUCAGGCUUUCAUGUGAGCCAUCACAAAUAUGGACCAAGUACCUUAGGGUGCUGAUACAGGGUUUUCAGCGUGUUUCCGAAAAUUUGUCGCCAUUUAUUGCUUGAGCUGAGUCAAAAGAAACUUAUCACCAUCCUUUAAUCUUCUUGCAGGCUUUGAGAAGAGCUCUUAAUAUCCUGCUUCAUGUUAGAAGUUGUCAGCACCAUUGGCAAGCACUAAAGAUGAACAUGAAGGAGUUGUACUUUUCUGGAUGUGAUUAAUUCUGGCACAGUACUUGUUCCCAUGGCUGAGCCCUGUGUGCACUGCUGUUCUUGUCAGGGUUUGGAGUUGGAUGGAAUCAAUGGAAACACCCAAAAUGAAUAACUGGUGAGAAGCAGGAGCAGCCUGGGACACUGCACAGAGGAUGGAAGUCAAAGACUGCUUUAAAGUGACUAAGGAUGACAGGGGAAGUCGUGCAUUCUAUUCCAUUUCCGAGGAGUCUGACAUUGCCCUACACUGCCAGCACCUUAACAGGCACACAGAAGAAAUUUCAGACCAUUACCGCGUUGGAUUUUGGAAGCAUGUAAAAAGUGCAGCGAAUCCAAGAGCGUUGUGAGAAGUGUGGCCAGGAAUUAAAGGCAUACCAGGAAAGCAUGGCAUCCUGCAAAAGCCUAUGGGAAGAUAGAGAGGGGAAAAUUACAGAAGACUAUGGGCCAUACCUGAAGACAGUAUAUGUGAAGAAACAGUGGAAAAUAAAG